AACGAACGCUGGCGGCAGGCUUAACACAUGCAAGUCGAACGCAUCCUUCGGGGUGAGUGGCAGACGGGUGAGUAACGCGUGGGAACCUACCCAGUUCUGCGGAACAACAGUUGGAAACGACUGCUAAUACCGCAUACGCCCUACGGGGGAAAGAUUUAUCGGAAUUGGAUGAGCCCGUGUUGGAUUAGCUAGUUGGUGAGGUAAUGGCUCACCAAGGCGACGAUCCAUAGCUGGUCUGAGAGGAUGAUCAGCCACACUGGGACUGAGACACGGCCCAGACUCCUACGGGAGGCAGCAGUGGGGAAUAUUGGACAAUGGGCGCAAGCCUGAUCCAGCCAUGCCGCGUGAGUGAUGAAGGCCUUAGGGUUGUAAAGCUCUUUCAGUGGGGAAGAUAAUGACGGUACCCACAGAAGAAGCCCCGGCUAACUUCGUGCCAGCAGCCGCAGUAACAC
rnacentral:rRNA from 1 species